rnacentral:lncRNA from 1 species
GUGCUCCUGUGUUAAUUGUGGUAUUGGCAUUCAGCAUGGAUGCUGAAGCUUUGUGCUUUGACUCUCUGAGAUUGAUGCUGGUAGGAAUCUUCGGGAUGUGGUUAUGCCAAGGCAUGCCUUGAUUAAAACAUCAAAUGAAGUAAGGAGUUUUGACACCACAUGCUAUUGUGGUUGUUCCUCGGGAAGCCACAACUCAGGCAGA